UGUCGCUCUGAGAGUGCUCGCUACCGGUUGCUCAGAGCAAAGUGUUACAGCCAGUUAUCGACUUGGCACAUCAACUGUGUCUGAAUAUUGUCUCAGAGGUAUGCCAAGCCAUAUGGAGGGUUCUGCAGCCUGAAUAUGUGGCUUUCCCCACUGGACAUCAGUGGACAGUUAUUGCACGUGACUUUUGGCGAUUCUGGGAUUAUCCUAACCUUUUGGGUCUAUUAUCUACCUGUCCAUCACUGUAUUUAUACAUAUCUAUCACUAACCAACAUUAUAUUUCCAUCCAUCACUUGCUAACAAUUCUAUUUAAUCUCAUCUAUCAGGAGCCUUGGAUGGGAAACACAUCAGGAUACGUUGCCCUCCGGGGAGUGAUUUUUUUAACUACAAAGGGACACACUCCGUAGUCCUCCUGGCUGUGUGUGACGCCCAUUAUAGAUGACGUCAGAGUGAUGGUGGCAUCUUCCAGGACAGUGAGUUUGGUCGCAAACUCAUGAGUGGCACACUGGACAUACCACCACCUGAUGUCCUACCCUGGCUCAAAUCUGGGAGAACCGGAGCAGGUAUACAACUACCGCCACAGCAGAGCUUGGAGAACUACUGAGAAUGCUUUUGGCAUCCUGUCAGCUGCACAACUGAGUAUCAUCCCUCCCAGACCGUACAAGUGGUCAAAGCAUGUGUAGCGCUACACAACUGGCUAACCCACACCGAUGACCGUCGUCAGUACAUUCCACCAAACUACGCUGACACCACUACCCCAUCAGGAGACAUUUUGCCAGGUGAAUGGAGGCAGACAGCUGGAGCAGACAACCUCUCUGAGAUCAGAAGAUCAAGGGCUACCAGGAGUGCUGGCAGAACAGCAUAUGCUUUUCGGAACAAUAUACGAGACUUCUUCUCAUCCCCUCAUGGUCUUGUGCCAUGGCAAACUGCCACCAUAAGAAGAGGCAGAUUGAACAUUCAGUAGUGUUCA